CUCACACCUCCGGGGCUUGGAGGGAAACUGAACGGAACACUGUCAGCUGAGACAGACAAACAACGCUUUCUCCGUGUUCAACUGUAUCCCCGCGUUGGCUCAGCACUCUCACAGACCUGACCUUGUGUUGUCUCCAAUACUGCUGCGCAUCACCCGGGAACUCCUCAGAGUACCCGGCCUCGCUGUGGCCUGCAGACAAUCGGCAGAUUCCGGUCUGGUCACGUUGGAGACUGGUCAUUUUCUAGAGGGAAAGGAGAAGCCCAUGAAAGGAUGGUGAAUUCUCUUUGAGUUUCAGUUGCCAGAAUAAAAGGGAGUGUGGAAAGUCAUCCAUGGUCACGGGAGCCAGCCCACGAAGGAGCAGGUUGCCUUCCCUUCUGUCUGUAGUUCUCGCCCAGCGCUGCCCGGUGUGGUGUCUGGUGCAGUGUGGGUGUGCAAUGUACACCCCCUAAAGGAGUGCACCAAGCCUCUCCCGACCUGGGCAAGGUCCUAGGGCACAGGACAGCCCCUCUUCCUGGGUGGCUUCUUCCGGUGCUCUCUGCUCGCCCGGCACCUGCCUGCCCUUGGGAUACAACACACAGGCGGGGCUCUCUCAGAAGGACUGAGGGGGACGCCACGUUGUCACUGUGUUGGAGGCUGGGUUAAGCCCGACCCUGGCGGUAAAAGGCAUGGAAGGGUCUUUCCAGGCUCCCAGGGACCUGAAGGGAAGCAGAGGGCAGGGGCAGUGGUGCUCAGGGCCCUCCCAGGAAGCCCUGGGGGCUGCGGUGGCCUGCUCUGUGGAGCCCAGCGGAGUGCAGGGUGCACUGGUGAUUCCACAGAGGAGGAGCCUGGCCCAGAGCAUCCAGUCUGGCUCUGCGCACCUAGCAACCUCUGAGUAGCUGCCCCGAAGGGAGGUUUGCGUUUCUGAUUUCCCUUCCAGCUUCUCCCCGCCCCCCCGCACCCCAGCUGUGGUUGGCAUGCCUUUGCGUGUCAGGCUGCGUGGAUCCUCUCCAGCAUCAGCCUCUGUCGCCUCUCACCCUGUCAUCCCGUGCCCCUGCGCGUGCCCAGCCCACAUCCCAGCGUGCCCGCCCGCUCCUGCUCCGGCCCUGGCUCCCCAUCACAUCAGGGCUUCACCCCUCCCACUUUUACCCAUCUCGGCCCUCCCUGCGGUGCCCUUGCCAAUGCCACGCCUGUCUCUUGGCCUCUCCCUCCUCCGCCUGCAGGCCCCUGGCUUCCCUGGCAUCCCCCUCCUGCCUCUGACCCUGGGCAGGCUGUUGGUGCAGCCAGCCCAGAAGGGACCACGCAUGCAGCCCUCUCCCUCCCUCCCGCUCUGCACACUGGCCCAGAUCUGCACAGAAUCCGGUCACGUGCCUAACACAGCCCGAACUUUUCACAGUGUGGAUCUUUGGCCGUAGCCAGGGCUCAGGCCCACAGGCUCAGCGUGGCAUCCUGGGCCUGUCGGAUGCAGGUUCCCCCCUCCGACCGCUGGGUGCCGAGUUCCAGGCCUGUGUGAUUACUGCUGGCUCCGCCCCACGGCUCACACUCACUGUUCUUGUCCGGUACCUCUGCCUUCCUGAAGACCCCGAGAGGGCAAGAGAGCCUGUAGGUGGAAGCUCCUGAAUGCUGCUUCUGCAUACUCCAGGCUGUUUGAUGAGCAGGCAGGGUAACCCAGGGCCUGGCCUGCACCAGGCCGUGAUCCUCCCCAGCGCCACAAAGCAGAGCAAAACAAGCCACCCUCAGUGCACAGUGCUGCCCGCAGCCCUUUCGGGGACAGUCCCUCGGCUCAGCUCCAGCCUUCGGCCCAAGGUGACAGGAGCACCUCCCCCUUGGAGUGGGGAAACUGCCAGUGGCUGCAGAACACAGCCGGAGAACAGGGCCCUCCGAUGCCUCUGCCCGUCAGGCCUGGCUGCAUGCUGGGGAGGGGAGUGUGCCUGUCGGUGGCAUCUGCAUUCCCAGGUGAGGGGCAACCUCCACUGAGGCCUGACCAGAAGAAACAGAACUGCAGACCCGGACCCUGGGGUCUGGGGUCAACAUGGGGAGUGGCUCAACACAGUUCCAGCCCUGGAGUUGUUUACAAUAUGUUAUUUGAAAUUUUAACACGAUCAGAGUUAAAUCACGACUAUUAAACACUCCCUUGAUCCAGGUACUUUGUGUCCCUUUAUUUUGAGAUGUGCCUAGGCUCACCGUGUCUGGUAGGGGGGUAGACGGGGUUUGCUCCCCUGGGAAGAGCUGCCUGUUACUAGGGCUGGUGUCAGUAGAAGCGUCCAGGGUCACAAGUGUGCUCCCGUGGGAACAGGGCACUGGAAAUCUGCUGCACCUGGCAAGACGGGCACUACAGCCCAGGACAGUGCCAGCUGAAAUGCAAUCCUCUGUGUGGCCGAGAGCUGCUGUCAAAAACAGAAAAGCUGGCUCUGAUUCUCUGAAUCCAAAUCCAGCCCAGUGAUCCCAGAGCCAGCUGCUCGGGCCCCUAAGGUGAGGUCUCAGGGCCCAGGCUGACCUCUUGUGUCCUCAUGGAGCCUACCAAGCCCUUGUGGUUCACUCGUUAACUUUGAUGAGAGGAAAUCUCUGCAAAAUCCUGUGUACGGUCCCAGAGACAUAUUUUAUCAUCAUGAUAAAGUAUCGUGUCGAUGUAAUCACAAGGCUUCCUAAGCUGUCUUCAUCAAGGGUAAGACAACCAGCAGUUAGCAGGUACCUGUAUUUAGCAAGUUAAACAGUCUUUGGUCUUGGGGCAGGGGAGAAAAUUCAAUGGUAGAGCAUGUACUGAGCAUGCAUAAGGCCUGAGUUCAGUGCUCAGCAAAAAUAGAA
ensembl:lncRNA